GAAAGGGAAUCCGGUUCUAAUUCCGGAACCCGGUUGCGGAUACGUCCGAGCUCUCGUAGCUCGUCAUGGUAACAUGACAUGACCCGGAGAAGCUGGCGGGGACCCCGGGAAGAGUUUUCUUUUCUGCUUGAGGGGUCGAGACCUUGGAAUUCUGUCGUGGAGCGAUAGGGUUUUGACCCCGAAGAGCGCCGCAGGUCUGCGGCGUCCGUGGGUUCUUGCCGGCCCUUGAAAAUCCGGGGGAGGGCCACGUGGACUUUCCAACCGGACCGUACCGAUAUCCGCAUCAGGUCUCCAAGGUGAACAGCCUCUAGUCGAUAGAUGAAUGUAGGUAAGGGAAAUCGGCAAAUUGGAUCCGUAACCUCGGGAUAAGGAUUGGCUCUGAGGGUCGAGGUGGUCGGGCUUGGACGCGAAGCCGGUAGUGCCCACGUGCUGGGCCUGGGCGAGGCCGUUAACGCGGUCGAACCCGGUCCCUAGCCUAAGCCACCGGGGGAACGUCCUCGCAGUAGGGCAGGAUAGUUUGGGCUUGACCCAUUCAUGCCUCCCUCUCGGCUGCCAAUGAACGACCAACUCAGAACUGGCACGAUCCAGGGGAAUCCGACUGUCUAAUUAAAACAAAGCAUUGCGAUGGCCGUAAGAGGGUGGUGACGCAAUGUGAUUUCUGCCCAGUGCUCUGAAUGUCAAAGUGAAGAAAUUCAACGAAGCGCGGGUAAACGGCGGGAGUAACUAUGACUCUCUUAA
rnacentral:rRNA from 1 species